rnacentral:lncRNA from 1 species
CAAGAAUAGCAGUUUAAGUUUUUGAGCCCUAUAAAUAUGGACAGAGAUCAGAUCAGUUCAAGUUCAGACAAAUUCGAUUUUCCAUCUUUGAACGAGCAAAUUACAUCUAUUCUUGAAGCAUUACACUACGAAACAAAGGAAUCCAGUGGGCACAAUAGUGACAAAGUACGAGGUAUGAGAAGACAAAAAAUUAGAAUUAUAGAUAGCGAAAGUGAAACUGCAGAAGAUGCAGGCAGUUCAGAAUGGAUACUGUGCGGAGAAUGUGAAGAAGUGCCACCAAGUGUACAAUUUAUAUCUGGCAAAAAA